AUUGAACGCUGGCGGCAUGCCUUACACAUGCAAGUCGAACGGCAGCACGGGAGCAAUCCUGGUGGCGAGUGGCGAACGGGUGAGUAAAGUAUCGGAACGUGCCCAGUCGUGGGGGAUAACGUAGCGAAAGUUACGCUAAUACCGCAUACGAUCUGUGGAUGAAAGCGGGGGAUCGCAAGACCUCGCGCGAUUGGAGCGGCCGAUAUCAGAUUAGGUAGUUGGUGGGGUAAAGGCUCACCAAGCCGACGAUCUGUAGCUGGUCUGAGAGGACGACCAGCCACACUGGGACUGAGACACGGCCCAGACUCCUACGGGAGGCAGCAGUGGGGAAUUUUGGACAGUGGGCGAAAGCCUGAUCCAGCCAUGCCGCGUGCAGGAUGAAGGCCUUCGGGUUGUAAACUGCUUUUGUACGGAACGAAAAGGUUUGGCCUAAUAAGCUGAGCUCAUGACGGUACCGUAAGAAUAAGCACCGGCUAACUACGUGCCAGCCGCCGCAGUAA
rnacentral:rRNA from 1 species